rnacentral:rRNA from 1 species
UACGGAGGGUGCAAGCGUUAUCCGGAUUUACUGGGUUUAAAGGGUGCGUAGGUGGGUUGGUAAGUCAGUGGUGAAAUACUUUCGCUUAACGAAGGAACUGCCAUUGAUACUACCAGUCUUGAAUACAGUGGAGGUAGGCGGAAUGCGUCAUGUAGCGGUGAAAUGCUUAGAUAUGACGCAGAACACCAAUUGCGAAGGCAGCUUGCUACACUGUUAUUGACACUGAGGCACGAAAGCGUGGGGACCAAACAGG